rnacentral:sRNA from 1 species
AUACGACCACGUUAGGGAUUGAAGUGGCAUCCUUUUUACUUUUUGUAAAAAGAUAUAGCGGAAAGCCCGACCCAAA